GAUGAACGCUGGCGGCGUGCUUAACACAUGCAAGUCGAACGAUGAAAGCGGGAGCUUGCUCCUGCUGGAUUAGUGGCGAACGGGUGAGUAACACGUGAGUAACCUGCCCUUGACUCUGGGAUAAGCGUUGGAAACGACGUCUAAUACCGGAUACGACCUUCGGAGGCAUCUCCUGGGGGUGGAAAGAAUUUCGGUCAAGGAUGGACUCGCGGCCUAUCAGCUAGUUGGUGAGGUAAUGGCUCACCAAGGCGACGACGGGUAGCCGGCCUGAGAGGGUGACCGGCCACACUGGGACUGAGACACGGCCCAGACUCCUACGGGAGGCAGCAGUGGGGAAUAUUGCACAAUGGGCGCAAGCCUGAUGCAGCAACGCCGCGUGAGGGACGACGGCCUUGGUGUAACUCUUAGUGGAAGAAGCGAAAGUAGACGGUACCUGCAGAAAAGACACCGGAC
rnacentral:rRNA from 1 species